UAAUAUCGGAACGUGUCCUGUAGAGGGGGAGUAGCCCGGCGAAAGCCGGAUUAAUACCGCAUACGAUCUACGGAUGAAAGUGGGGGACUCGCAAGGGCCUCACGUUACAGGAGCGGCCGAUAUUCGAUUAGCUUGUUGGUGAGGUAAAGGCUCACCAAGGCUACGAUCGAUAGCUGGUCUGAGAGGAUGAUCAGCCACACUGGGACUGAGACACGGCCCAG
rnacentral:rRNA from 1 species